AAAAAGACAAACGCUGGUUUCCAUACCCAACGUUUGACCGUCCGUCUUAUUUAAAAAAAAUUAUAAAAAAAAUUAAAAAGACAAGUCACGCAUAAAAUAUUAAUCAUGUUUUAUCAUCUAACAACAAUAAAAAUACGAAUUAUAAAAAAAUUUCAUAUAAGACGGACAGUCAAAAUUGUAUACGUACCCAGGGUUUGACUUUUU
rfam:Oryza glaberrima chromosome 7 Oglab07_0138_25, whole genome shotgun sequence.